rnacentral:rRNA from 1 species
AGUAUCCCACCUGGGGAGUACGUUUGCAAGAAUGAAACUCAAAGGAAUUGACGGGGCCCCGCACAAGCAGCGGAGCAUGCGGCUUAAUUCGACGCAACGCGAAGAACCUUACCAAGGCUUGACAUAUACAGGAAUAUGGCAGAAAUUCCAUAGCCGCAAGGUCUGUAUACAGGUGGUGCAUGGUUGUCGUCAGCUCGUGUCGUGAGAUGUUGGGUUAAGUCCCGCAACGAGCGCAACCCUCGUUCUGUGUUGCCAGCAUUUAGUUGGGGACUCACAGGAGACUGCCGGGGUUAACUCGGAGGAAGGUGGGGAUGACGUCAAAUCAUCAUGCCCCUUAUGUCUUGGGCUGCACGCAUGCUACAAUGGCUGGUACAAACGGCUGCGAUACCGCAAGGUGGAGCGAAUCCGAUAAAGCCAGUCUCAGUUCGGAUUGGGGUCUGCAACUCGACCCCAUGAAGUCGGAGUUGCUAGUAAUCGUAGAUCAGCAACGCUACGGUGAUACGUUCCCGGGGCUUGUACUCACCGCCCGU